rnacentral:rRNA from 1 species
GAUGAACGCUGGCGGCGUGCCUAACACAUGCAAGUCGAACGCGAAAAGGGCUUCGGCUCUGAGUAGAGUGGCGAACGGGUGAGUAAUGCAUCGGAACGUGCCAUUGAGUGGGGGAUAACGUAGCGAAAGUUGCGCUAAUACCGCAUAUUCUGUGAGCAGGAAAGCAGGGGACCGCAAGGCCUUGCGCUCUUUGAGCGGCCGAUGUCAGAUUAGCUAGUUGGUGAGGUAACGGCUUACCAAGGCGACGAUCUGUAGCGGGUCUGAGAGGAUGAUCCGCCACACUGGAACUGAGACACGGUCCAGACUCCUACGGGAGGCAGCAGUGGGGAAUAUUGGACAAUGGGCGCAAGCCUGAUCCAGCAAUACCGCGUGUGUGAAGAAGGCCCUAGGGUUGUAAAGCACUUUCAAUGGGGAGGAAAAGAGUAAGCUAAUACCUUGCUUAUUGACAUUACCCAUACAAGAAGCACC